UACGAACUGUGCGAACGUUAUUCGGAAUCACUGGGCUUACAGGGUGCGUAGGCGGCUUGUCAAGUAGGGUGUGAAAGCCCCCGGCUCAACCGGGGAAUGGCGCCCUAAACUGGCGAGCUAGAGUGAGAUAGGGGUGUGUGGAACUUCCGGUGGAGCGGUGAAAUGUGUUGAUAUCGGAAGGAACGCCGGUGGCGAAAGCGACACACUGGAUCUUGUCUGACGCUGAGGCGCGAAAGCCAGGGGAGCGAACGGG
rnacentral:rRNA from 1 species